UUCAAAAUUGGAUACUUUAUUGGCCAUGAGAGACCAAGAAGUCUUCCAGAAAGUUAUCGAAGAAUUGAACACAAACCCAUUUAUCUCACACACUUUCUUCUGCUCUCCUGCGAAAGCCCAUUUUAUUCUUAUAUAUUAGUAAACCUUUUUCAUCUCUCCGUUCAAAUCCCCCUAAAACCCCCUCUCAAAGCCCUAAUUUUUUUGCCUAAACGCAUCAAAUUCAGUUGCCCCUUGACCCAAUAAGUGGCCCUCUUCAAAAUCCGCCUUAAAGGGUUGUAAUUCUAUUGAUAGUAGUGACAAUGGCUUCAUUCUUGACGGAAUUUUCGUGUGUCAUAACAGUGUUACCACCACCAUUUGUCGUCUUUAUCAAAAUCUUGUGAAGGGCAAUGAUUGAAUUAAAUUUUGUAUUAUUAUAGAUCUAGCUACUAAUAUCAAUAUGGACUCCUUAAUAAUAUCAAAUUUAAUUUGAGAAAAUUUGAAAGCCUAGCAGUUAUAGAUAUGAGAAAGAGAGAAAGAACAAAUCGUGUUUUUGGUGCUAGUACAUGCCGCCUGCAUUCAAGCUUUUGUGUGGAUAUGUUUGGAGUAUAACUUGCAUGUUGACAAAAUACGUGAUGAUUGGUUAAAGGUAAGAUUUUCAUUAGCAUCCAAAUCAUAAAAUUUCUCAAGGUAAACAUUUAAAUUACAAAUUAAAUAUUGUUUUUCGCCUGAGUCCUGUGAUGUAUUUCAAAAAUUCUGAAUUUUCACAUUUUAAAUUACUGCUUCUGUUGUACUUUAUGUCUCAAAAUCCAGCACUAUGAAGACUAUAUAUGCACUGCAAACAUGUUCUAUUAGCAACACAUAUAUGAUGAUCUCCUGUCUUCAAGAAAAUAUUGAUUUUCAUAUAAAUUUUUCUUAUACAUAUAUAGAUAUUAUAAUUUACUUUUUAAACACUAUAUAGACUUUUAGAAUAGAGAAACUACAAAUAUAAAUAAAUAUUUUAAAUGAGAAAGUAUGUGGGAAUAAGCUAAGUUCGUAAAAUAAUGGAUAUUAAAUUUCUUAUAUAUCCAUAUAACUUUGUUUUAUAAUUAGGUUAUUGGAGAACAAUUUAUAAUUUUAGCACGAAUUUAUGAAAGUCAUUUUUUUUCUUGAUGAAUCUGUACAUUUAUCUUUAACACAGAUGUCUAUAUUAAGUGCGAAAAUUUUGAAUUUCUUUAUUUUCACCAUGACCUUAUUUAUACAUCGUCUGUGGAUAUUCAAAUGGGCCUAAAUUUUUUCUCGGCCCAAUACAGGAUCUUGAGCCAUCUAGAUACUUCUAUAUCCAUCGUCAAGAUCUAUAUAUCUCAAUAAGCAUAUACACAUCUACAAACUAUAUCUACAUAUACAUAAAAACACACAUCGUGUGUAUAUAUCAUAUUUUUACUAGAUCUAGAACCUUUCAAUUCUAAUUUCGAUCACUAUAUAGACCUUCAUAUACUGCUAUUUGUUCGAUAACAGAUCAUCGAUCAUAUUUCUCGUCCACAAUCGUAAAUGAAAAAAAAGCGUGAUAAAAUUAUCUUGGACGGGGUCAUCUUGCUAUCUUGUAAAACUAACACUAAUAUAAGUCAACUUUAUACUCAAACAAUGAAGGAGGUGCUUCAAUUUUCAGUGGAUAAACACUGAAAGUGGACAUGGCCCUAAUGCUUCACUCCCCGUCGAUACAAGAUAAUUUUUAUAACACGAGUAUCAAUAAUAUAUCUGGCUUUGCAUAUGGCUUGAAAAUUGUUUUAUGUGAUUCUAAUGUGCGAUGAUUCCUCUUGAACUUUGUAGACAAGCGGGAACGAGGAACAUGGGUAAGAGAUGUGGCGAGUGGAGGGAAGAUAUCUCGAGGCAUUCCAAUGAUGCCACAGCAGUAUUACCCAUCUCCAUGCCUGGCUUUGAGAAUCCUGAAAGAAGUUCACAAAUGAGGAGCGAGGUGACAAAUAUUAACCAUACGGGACCUAUUCGAACUCCACCAAGCAUAUCAGAUCAGAUGCGAAGAUACCAUAGUCAUCAUGUCCAAAAAACAUACAUGCAUGCUCACAUGAACAAGGCAAAACAUAUAAGAGUUGGAGAUGAAGCUACUCCAUUACCAACAAAUACUCUGUAUGUUGGUCUGCUUAUAGAAUAAAACAAUGGACCUCGGGACGCGUUUAGAUAGACCUAGUAGGGUCAAUGUGGGACCUAGUAGAACCAGACUUAGUUCUAGUUGUAGCUAUUGAUCUAUCGAGAGUCUUGUGAUGUUUUAGUGAGUGGCGCAAGGCUAGACGAUGACCCUUAGUGAUGGUUUCUUAUGAUUUGUAUUUAAAUUUUCGUUUAAUAAUAUAUGUUUGUAUUUAAAUUUU